AUGGCCCUCAAAAAUGAAAAUGUGCUCCCCUUACUUGGCUAUUGCUAUGAAGGACAAAAGGAAGUGGUGUUUAACAAUGGAAAAUAUAUUGCUGCAGACAUCUUUCAAAGUUUACUCUGCUAUGAAUAUUUACCUGAAGGAACCCUUCAGAGGAAUCUUUUUGAAGUACCCAAGAAAAUGGACUGGGAGACACGAUUCAAAAUAAUUAAAGGGGUUUGCAAGGGUUUACUCUUUCUACAUAGCAUUCCUAUUGUUCAUAUGGAUCUCAAGCCAGAAAACAUAUGGUUGGAUAAUUACAUGCGGCCGAAAAUUGCGGAAUUCGGUCUCUCGAGAAUCUUCGGUCAAGAACAAACAUGGAUGAAUUCACAAAAUAUCGUGGGAUCAUAUGGAUACAUAGCUCCAGAAUAUCUAUACAGAGGUGAAAUCUCCACCAUGUCAGACAUUUACAGUUUAGGCCUACUCAUCGUGGAGACCAGCACAGGAGAGAAAAAUUGUCCCGGGAAUGAACCAUCUGCAGUGAAAUUUAUUAAAAAUGUACGCGAUAAUUGGACAGAGGAGCGCAUAGCCUCAGAGUACCCGUCACUAGAUCCAGAUUGCCUCAAGCAAAUAAAAGCAUGCAUCAACAUUGGACUGGAGUGUGUAGAGAUUAGUCGGCGCAAGAGACCAUCCAUAGAAAAAAUUAUGGACACGCUCAACAGACUUUCGCAGGUAGACUCCAAUAACGUUCUCAGCCUGCAACCCCAACGGAUAAACUUCCCUAUUGGGCCAAAGAGGUUGACCUCCAGCUCGCUUUACCUAAUAAACAACAGAGAUGAUCGUAUUGCCUUCAGGCUUGAAACCAAAUUCCCAAGGAGGUACCUUACAAAGCUACCAUUGUGUGGCGUGGUCCCGCCAAAGUGCACCUACAUUCUCACUAUGAUAAUGCGCCAACAGAAGAAGUCGCCACCGUCGAACAGCGACGAUGGUUUGAUACUACAAAGCAGUAUUGCACACCAUGAGGACCUCGACAGUGUCGACCCAGCUUCCGUGGCCAUGUUCCUUGACACCGCCGGUGAUGAGGUGCAAGAGGCAAAAGUUGAGGUUGCUUGCGAACCACUAGUUGAAACUAUCUCUAACGACCAGAUCAUAGACGGUCCUAAUUACCGGGAGGUGUUGUCUGUAGAUGUCCAUCCAACAGAACCAUGGAUCUUGACGAGCAACAAGAGGGGUCAUGUUUGCAUUUGGAACUACCAAACUCAGGCAGAGGUGAACUCCAUUGAAGUCACUAGAGAAUCAGUAUAUUCUGCAAAAUUCAUUGAACGAGAGGGAUGGUUUGUGGUUGGUGGUGAUGACGGGUGCAUCUAUGUGUACAAUUAUAAUACCAUGAAAGAAGUUUACAUGAUCGAAGAAGCUCAUGAUGAUUGCAUCAUGUGUCUGGUGGUGAAUCCAACUCAUUCAUUUCUGCUGUCAGCGUCUGAUGACCACAAGAUUAAGCUUUGGGACUGGGCGAACGAAUGGCAGUGUACCCGAACUUUUGAGGGGCAUGAUGACACAGUCACACAAGUAAUGUUUAACCCGAGGCACAGCGAAAGCUUCGCGAGUGCUUCCUUGGAUCACACAGUCAAGAUCUGGAAUAUUCACUCUGAAACUUGCAACAUCACGUGGGAUGAGCAUCCGGAUGGUGUACUCUCUGUUCAUUACCACCCACGGUAUUUUCAGCAGUCUUUGAUUUGUGGAUCUUCAGAUGGUGACGCAAAGAUCUGGGACCUAGAGACGGACAGUUGCGUCGAUACGCUCGAAGGACAUGAAAAGGGUAUCAGUGCUCUUUGUUGGCACCCAGAACUUCGGGCACUAGUUACUGGAUCGCUUGAUGGGACCGUGCGAAUCUUGAGCUGGAUGUGUCAUAGCAAUACAUACAGGCUCGAGAACAUCAUUGGAUUAAAUCUCGGUGCUGUCAAUGCUCUUGGAUACCUAAAGGGGUUAACAAGGAUUGUGGUCGGAUGCGACCAAGGAAUGGCACUGAUGGAAAUUAACGUGAUUUAA
rnacentral:rRNA from 1 species